GUGCCAGCAGCCGCGGUAAAACCACUUACACAAGUGGUCAGGAGGAUUAUUGGGCCUAAAGCAUCCGUACCCGGCUUUGUUAGUUUUCGGUUAAAUCUAUAUGCUCAACAUAUGGGCUGCCGGGAAUACUGCAAAGCUAGGGAGUGGGAGAGGUAGACGGUACUCCGUAGGAAGGGGUAAAAUCCUUUGAUCUAUGGAUGACCACCUGUGGCGAAGGCGGUCUACCAGAACACGUCCGACGGUGAGGGAUGAAAGCUGGGGGAGCAAACCGGAUUAGAUACCCGGGUAGUCCCAGCUGUAAACAAUGCAAACUCAGUGAUGCAUUGGCUUGUGGCCAGUGCAGUGCCGCAGGGAAGCCGUUAAGUUUGCCGCCUGGGAAGUACGUACGCAAGUAUGAAACUUAAAGGAAUUGGCGGGGGAGCACCACAAGGGGUGAAGCCUGCGGUUCAAUUGGAGUCAACGCCAGAAAUCUUACCCGGAGAGACAGCAGAAUGAAGGUCAAGCUGAAGACUUUACCAGACAAGCUGAGAAGUGGUGCAUGGCCCGUCGCCAGCUCGUGCCGUGAGAUG
rnacentral:rRNA from 1 species